CCCUUAGAUGUUCUGGGCGGCCCGCGCACUACAAUGGCGUGUGCAGCGAGUGCCGAAGUAGAGUUUUCCGAGGUAUUCUUGCAAUGCUCGUUUUGAUGGGGAUAGACCCUUGCAACUGUUGGUUUUGAACGAGGAAUUCCUUGUAAGCAUGGUUUAUCAUCCGACGCUGAAUGCGUUCCUGCCCUUUGUACACACCGCCCGUCGCUCCUACCGAUGAGUCGUCCGGUGAAGUUCGUAGACCUCGUGAUCGCGGAUCACUGGGGGAAGCAAAAUGAACCUCGCGGUUUAGAGGAAGGAGAAGUCGUAACA
rnacentral:rRNA from 1 species